rnacentral:rRNA from 1 species
UACAGAGACUGCAAGCGUUAUUCGGAUUCACUGGGCGUAAAGGGUGCGCAGGCGGCCAGGUGUGUGAGGUGUGAAAGCCCGGGGCUUAACCCCGGAAUUGCACCUCAAACUACUUGGCUAGAGCAUUGGAGAGGGUAGCAGAAUUCACGGUGUAGCAGUGAAAUGCGUAGAUAUCGUGAGGAAUACCAGAGGCGAAGGCGGCUACCUGGACAAUUGCUGACGCUCAGGCACGAAAGCGUGGGGAGCAAAAGGG